rnacentral:rRNA from 1 species
AGUGGCGGACGGGUGAGUAACACGUAAGAAUUUGCCUUUAGGAGGGGGACAACAGAGGGAAACAGCUGCUAAUACCCCAUAUGCUUUCGAGUGAAAUGGAUUUUUCCGCCUAGAGAGAAGCUUGGGGCUGAUUAGCUUGUUGGUAAGGUAAUGGCUUACCAAGGCGACGAUCAGUAUCUGGUUUGAGAGGACGAUCAGACCCACUGGAACUGAGACACGGUCCAGACUCCUACGGGAGGCAGCAGUGGGGAAUUUUCCGCAAUGGGCGAAAGCCUGACGGAGCAAUCUCGCGUGAGGGAUGACUGCCUAUGGGUUGUAAACCUCUUUUUUCAGGGAGGAAUCAAUGACGUGUACCUGAAGAAUAAGCAUCGGCUAACUCCGUGCCAGCAGCCGCGGUAAGACGGAGGAUGCAAGUGUUAUCCGGAAUCACUGGGCGUAAAGCGUCUGUAGGUGGUUUAAUAAGUCAACUGUUAAAUCUUGAAGCUCAACUUCAAAAUCGCAGUCGGAACUAUUAGACUAGAGUAUAGUAGGGGUAAAGGGAAUUUCCAGUGGAGCGGUGAAAUGCGUAGAGAUUGGAAAGAACACCGAUGGCGAAGGCACUUUACUGGGCUAUUACUGACACUCAGAGACCAAAGCUAGGGUAGCAAAUGGGAUUAGAUACCCCAGUAGUCCUAGCCGUAAACAAUGGAUACUACAUGUU